rnacentral:rRNA from 1 species
UACGUAGGGGGCAAGCGUUGUCCGGAUUUAUUGGGCGUAAAGAGCGUGUAGGCGGCCAUACAGGUCAGCUGUGAAAACCCGAGGCUCAACCUCGGGCCUGCAGUGGGUACGGGCAGACUAGAGUGCGGUAGGGGAGAUUGGAAUUCCUGGUGUAGCGGUGGAAUGCGCAGAUAUCAGGAGGAACACCAAUGGCGAAGGCAGAUCUCUGGGCCGUAACUGACGCUGAGGAGCGAAAGCAUGGGGAGCGAACAGG